rnacentral:rRNA from 1 species
GACGAACGCUGGCGGCGUGCUUAACACAUGCAAGUCGAACGGAAAGGCCCUGCUUUUGUGGUGUGCUCGAGUGGCGAACGGGUGAGUAACACGUGAGUAACCUGCCCUUGACUUUGGGAUAACUUCAGGAAACUGGGGCUAAUACCGGAUAGGAGCUCCUGCUGCAUGGUGGGGGGUGGAAAGUUUCGGCGGUUGGGGAUGGACUCGCGGCUUAUCAGCUUGUUGGUGGGGUAGUGGCUUACCAAGGCUUUGACGGGUAGCCGGCCUGAGAGGGUGACCGGGCACAAUGGGACUGAGAUACGGCCCAGACUCGUACGGGAGGCAGCAGGGGGGAGUAUGGCACAGUGGGCGGGAGCCUGAGGCAGCAACGCCGCGUGCGGGAUGACGGCCUUCGGGUUGUAAACCGCUUUCGCCUGUGACGAAGCGGGAGUGACGGUAAUGGAUAAAGAAGCACCGGCUAACUACGUG